rnacentral:lncRNA from 1 species
CCGCCUCCCGCCGCCGCUCCGCCGCUCGUGCAGGAAAUGCGCAAAAGACGUCAGUGUGCGAGCGAGUGUGUGUGCGUGCGUGUGCGGGGAGCGCGGGCGGCGAGAGCGCGAGGGCGUGCGGAAACUUCGGCGGCGGGAGCGGCGCCCGGGCCGCCUUCCUCACCGCUCUCCGGCCCUCUCGGCUGCCUUUCACCGAUUCGCGUCGUAUUUUAUUUCUUAUUCUUUAUUACUCUUUAUUAUCGCUGUUGUUACUCCCUCCUCCGUCCUCCUCCUCCUCCUCCCGGGAUGAGAGUGGCGUGGAAAAAAAACAUCCCCGAUCGCCUUCCUCCCGGGCUUUAAAUAGCCCCUCGGGGUCUACUCCUGUACUACCCGGGUCGCUCCGCGGCGCUGCCGCGCGCCCGCUCCCACACGGGCGAGGAACGGCUCUCCCCGGAGCUCGGAUCGUUAGCUCCUCCCCAGUACAGCGUCGCCCCUCGGAGCCCUCCAGCCGCGCCCCGGCCCCGCGACGAACGGCGGCUGCGGAGCACCGCCGCCGCCUGACAGCGCCGAACCCCGGGCCGAGCAGCCUCCGCCCGCCGGGCCGCGGCGGCAGAGGCACCGUUACGUCAGCGGGGGCCGGGCCGGAGGAAGAGUUUCCCCGCGGUGUGCGAGCGCCGGGAAGUGCCGUGCGCCGCCGGGGGAAGCGGCCUCCCGCUGCCCGACAGGGAGGAACGCGGCUGCGUCCCGGCCCGGCCGCGGUGCGGGGCGCCCCCGUCCCCUACUCUGCCCCGGCUCGGCCCCACCGCCGCCGGCGCUAAGGGGAAGCGCCGCGGGGAGUAAUCGCGGCUGUGCUGGAAAGAUACUGAAAGGGGAAAUAAAUCUCCUAAAAGGGCACGCUUGCUAUAUUAGCGAUUUGAUUUUGGUCAUCUUCGAUGCCGUGGUGCUGACUGCUACGUUAAACAAACAGGAAACUGCACAGCGUGGCUUUCUCCUCUCCAGAACAAUUUUGAGUUGGUGAUUUCACCUGUCUCUCUCUUUUUUUUUUUCAAGAAAGUCACUGGGAAAGGGCUCUUGCGCAAGCUUUGAACUGACUUUACUAUCCGAAGAAGAAUGUCAGGCCAGCUCUUGUGUUCAGGAGGGCAGGUGGGGGAAUUCAAGGCAGUGUGAAGGAAGAGCCCAGCUGCCAGGACGCACUCAAAUGGCAGGAGAGGAGCAGUCUGAAACGUGGCGUCUGACAUGGAAGUGUGGAUGGAGCAGAGGUGUGGAAUUGGAUUCCUCCAUGAAGAAAAAAAAUGCACUCAUCAGUGCUUGCUGAACGUUUAUGGAGACCAAACAGUGGAUGUGAGCACAGUGAGGCAGUGGGUGGUGUGUUUCAGCAGUGGUGGCAACAACAGUGGGUCACCUCCACUGGCGCAUUGGCAGCGACAUGGAAGGAGCGGGCAAGCUGUAGGCAGCUCGUUACCUUGAGUCAGCCCCUGACCUUUCCAUGGCCCGUGAAUCCUCCGAGCUCUAUGGAGAAACAGCACUAUCUGGUGGAGGGAGUGUGUAAAGUCCUGUCAGCCACGGGCUGGGCUCAUUUGUUAGAGCUACAGUUGCAACUGCUCUAGCUGUGUUCUUGCCCAAAGUUGAUAGUUUCGCCGUGGUUUCCAGAGAUUAUUUUUUUUUCUUUUAACAGUGCGAAUGGCAAGUGAGUAUAUCCAGCUAAGUCUUUGUAAAACUGAUGCUUUCAUCAGUUUCUAUUGCUUACCUGAAGAAUUUUUUCACCCUCUGAGGAAUGUUGGUAUGUUUUCUGGAUUUUUCUAAGCACAGCAAUAUGAAAGAAAGAGAGAAAAAAAUGUUUAGGUUUAAUUUUAAAAGAAGUGUUCUUUAUUGAAGUUAUAUAAAGCAGAUGCGAGUGGAAUAAAAUCAAACUUGUGUGUAAGGAGAAAUUUUCAGAAACAUUUCAUGUCAAAAAAUGAAAUAAAACCCAGAACCCAGGUUAUGAAGUUGUGAAACUUUGGCUCUGAAUUGACUCUGGAUGUAAACGCAUUCAUAGAACCACAGGAUAUCCCGAGUUGGAAGGGACCCGUAAGAAUCAUUGAGUCCAACUCCUGGAUCAACACAGGAGCACCUAAAAAUCAGACCCUAUGUCUGAAAAGCAUAAUCUAUGUAAAAGCAUGUAUGAAAAGCACCACAUUGGUGAAGAUGUUGGCUAGUAUCAAUAUGUCCACUGAAUUCCAC